GACUGUACAGCUGUGGUGCCAUAAGAAAACCACUAAUCAGUGAGGCUAACCGGAGAAAACGGCUUCAGGUUGUUAGGGAGCAUGAAGACUGGACUCUGG